AGACUUCCUGCCGAAAUUUCGGCAGUCUCCCCUAUAAAUUGGACAUUUCCCAAAAUUUCAACCUGCAUAAAAACACAUUUAAUAUUCCCAACUGGCAGCAUGCACAAUAUAAUUUCAUGCAAUUCACACAAAUGGCCUUCGGCCUUUCAAUAAUUCCUAUCCAACUACCAAACCAUUCAAAUACCAAAUAUGACUAACAUUUAGUCUGCGGCUGCACCUAAUAACCUUAGGCUGCCUACGUACCCUCCUUGAGGGAUCAAGCCACACGUAGUUCUUCCCUAAAACUCAAUUCCCCACUUGGGCGAUACCUUAUUUCAUUUCUUUGUAUUUCAUAUAAUCUCCCCAUACGCCGGUACAACCAACGCCACGUAUGGGGUCUGUCUCAACGUCGGAUAACCUACGCCACGUGAAACCUGCACAUCAUAUCACAUAACUCCCCAUACGCCGGUACAACCAACGCCACGUAUGGGGCCUGUCCCAACGCCGGAUAACCUAAGCCACGCGGGACCUCAAUAUUAUAUCACAAAGCUCCCCAUACGCCGGUACAACCAACGCCACGUAUGGGGUUUGUCGACACGCCGGAUAACCUACGCCACGUGCGACCUCGACACAAUAUCACAUAGCUCCCCAUACGCCGGUACAACCAACGCCACGUAUGGGGUCUGUCCCAGCGCCGGAUAACCUACGCCACGCGGGACCUCAAUUUCACUUGGUGGUGCUUGUAAUGGAUCCAACAUCCGAGGAGGUACCUAAAGUAGUGCGUAUAGCACUCCAAACUGACAUUUCUAGACUUUGUUGUACCCUUGUACAACCACAUAUAAUUAUAUUUAUAUAAUAUUAAUUCUUAUAUUGUGUAACCCUCCACAAUCAUCUAGCACCCGAUAAUCCCCCGUAGAAAGGUGAGAUUACUCCGGGAGACUCACGGUCAACCAAGGGUCAAACUACUCUAACCCUGGUCAACCCGACCUACAAAACCCACGACCUCCAAUUUCCGAUCCGGAAGUCCCUAUGGGUUCUACCAGGUAUAGGACACUUGUCCUGCAAGUUUGGUUCAGAUCGGACGGUCGGAUUGCUCACGAUCGCACGAUCUGACGGUUAAUAUAAAAUAUAAAAUUAAAAUUAUUAUUCGGAACAUCCGGGGCUCCGAUUCACGAUCCGUGAAUUCCUACACGAUCCUAGAAAUACCUAGAUUAACAUAUAUUAAAUUUGGGACCAUCCGACGGUCCCAACCUAUCGAACCCGGAUAACGCAUACUAUGCGAUUAUCCGUUCGAUAGUCAAACGACGUCCGAAUUGAGAUCCGCGAAAUCCUACGCACUCGUGACAACCUAAGGAUCUCUUUGGGUUAAUUUGCAGCUUCACCAGCCUCGCCCACGCGCCGCCACACGCGCCGGCAGCGCGUGGGUGUGUAGAGAAAUUCCGGCGACGGAAAAAACUCCACACCCGAGCUCACCCUUUCGGCUACAGAUUCUACUCGACGAGUGGAACACUUUAUUCAACUACACCAAAGUCCAAUUCGGACGGCAAGUGGCCGGAAUCGGCGUCGGAAACUCACGGUUUAACCCGGAACUUCACGGCCUCGAUCCGGCGACCACCGUCGAUAUCGUCAUCGCGCAACCUAGGAAAUAGCUAGAAGGGAAGGAGGGCUACCUGUUCCAAGUGACGGCGCAGCUCGCGACGGCCGGAAACGUCGCCGGUGACGUCGGCAAUUUUGGCCGUUUUUCCCGCCGUUGCCACCGCCGUUCGCCGGGUUUUCGAUCGGAGAAAAGGGGUGGGCUGGGUCGAGGAGGAAGAGAGGAAGCUUUUGCAAGAAACGGCGCCUAAAACGGAGGUCGGACGGCGAAGUUCACGCCGUCUGAAGUUCCGGCGAAAAAAUGAAAACGGGGAGGGGGGUUCAGCCGCGGGAGAGAGAGAGAGAGAGAGAGAGAGAGAGAGAGAGAGAUCUGAUAUUUUAACCCAAACUUCGAAAUAUUUACAGUUUUGCCACUGUCGAUGUUUUGCCCGUAACUUCUUCGUUACAACUCCGAUUCGAGCCCACUACGUGUCUAUGAACUCGUCUCAAUACGACCUAUCCAAAAAUAUAAGUCACGGUCCCAAACUCUCUCCGGUUAAAAAUAUGACUAAAAUACCCUUAAAUAAUUAAAUAAUUAAAUAAGGGUAAAAUUUGGGAAAAUUUGGGGUCGGAGUGUUACAGACUACCCCCCUUAUAAAAAUUUCGUCCCCGAAAUUUCCUACCUGUCACUCGAAGGGUUGUGAGCAUGGGGCCCGCAUCUACCACUCGGGUUCCCAAGUUCUUUCUCCACAACCGUGUUGGCAACCAAGCCAAAAGCUCUAGCUAAGCAAGCAGAGAAAGAGAAGUCUCCUUCUCUAACUAUGGCGAGCUCACGUGAGAGAGCAAGGAGGAAGAACCCUAAUGUUCCACUCCUGUCAAUCGCGGCAUUCAAGCCCACGCGAAUGAAGUACGGUUACACCCAACUCCAUUACUUCUCCCUUUAAUUUGCUAACACGAUUCUUUGAGAGAAAAGUCAGAAAGGAUCAUUUUUACCGAAUUGUAAUCAUCAUCGAUCUCUCUCGACCAUGAUCCAUUUCUGAUUCCGAUGAAAGAUCUCUACUCAAACGUGCUUACGUGAGAUGAGACCCCAAAUGACUCUCUCCAUCCAUCUGGGUCUCGUCCUUAGACUUGACCAUAGUAUUCCCACCACACACGAGCCUCUUUCUGUAAGAGACACUUGUGAUUUCGAUUAUACCAACACCACCCUUCAGACCCUGGAUCCCUUGAUCCAAUGUCGGGGAGUUGCUCGUCCCAGAGAGAGGUUAUGCUAUUAGGAUCUUCGACUCGGUGCUCUAGGCACACAAUCGAAAAUUAGCAACAUGUUCAGUCAAUGGAGGAUCCCUAGAAGUAGGUUGAUCCACUCCCUACCUCCCGCUUAUGCGGACCCAACAGACAACUUUGUCAUGGGGACAUCCAACUGUACCAUACGUACAGGUGUUACCCUAUGCAAACUUUUGGCUUCUAUUCGUAAUCUUCCGGAACUUCUGAAACAACCACUGUCUGUGGUAAAGCUCCAGCUCUACUUAUGCUCCGGUGGCCUAUGUACCUUUCCUUUGUGAAAUAAUUUGACUUUUGUGACGUCCUCAACGUUGCAAAUGUGCCACUCCGAGAUGGUACCCAUUUUGAUCCCCACAAUUUAAGGAUGCACAUAAAGUGCAGGGUCCACAAGGAAUUGAACCUAGAGCUCUGAUACCAACUUUAAGGACCCGCCCCGAAUUUUCUCAAAACCCGAGACGAACCCUUUGGAAUUCCUGACAUCACUCCGAUGUCAGACCCGAUCACUAAAGACCGAGACUUCCUGCCGAAAUUUCGGCAGAGUCUCCCCUAUAAAUUGGACAUUUUCCAAAAUUUCAACCUACAUAAAAACACAUUUAAUAUUCCCAACUGGCAGCAUGCACAAUAUAAUUUCAUGCAAUUCACACAAAUGGCCUUCGGCCUUUCAAUAAUUCCUAUCCAACUACCAAACCAUUCAAAUACCAAAUAUGACUAACAUUUAGUCUGCGGCUGCACCUAAUAACCUUAGGCUGCCUACGUACCCUCCUUGAGGGAUCAAGCCACACGUAGUUCUUCCCUAAAACUCAAUUCCCCACUUGGGCGAUACCUUAUUUCAUUUCUUUGUAUUUCAUAUAAUCUCCCCAUACGCCGGUACAACCAACGCCACGUAUGGGGUCUGUCUCAACGUCGGAUAACCUACGCCACGUGAAACCUGCACAUCAUAUCACAUAACUCCCCAUACGCCGGUACAACCAACGCCACGUAUGGGGCCUGUCCCAACGCCGGAUAACCUAAGCCACGCGGGACCUCAAUAUUAUAUCACAAAGCUCCCCAUACGCCGGUACAACCAACGCCACGUAUGGGGUUUGUCGACACGCCGGAUAACCUACGCCACGUGCGACCUCGACACAAUAUCACAUAGCUCCCCAUACGCCGGUACAACCAACGCCACGUAUGGGGUCUGUCCCAGCGCCGGAUAACCUACGCCACGCGGGACCUCAAUUUCACUUGGUGGUGCUUGUAAUGGAUCCAACAUCCGAGGAGGUACCUAAAGUAGUGCGUAUAGCACUCCAAACUGACAUUUCUAGACUUUGUUGUACCCUUGUACAACCACAUAUAAUUAUAUUUAUAUAAUAUUAAUUCUUAUAUUGUGUAACCCUCCACAAUCAUCUAGCACCCGAUAAUCCCCCGUAGAAAGGUGAGAUUACUCCGGGAGACUCACGGUCAACCAAGGGUCAAACUACUCUAACCCUGGUCAACCCGACCUACAAAACCCACGAUCUCCAAUUUUUGAUCCGGAAGUCCCUAUGGGUUCUACCAGGUAUAGGACACUUGUCCUGCAAGUUUGGUUCAGAUCGGACGGUCGGAUUGCUCACGAUCGCACGAUCUGACGGUUAAUAUAAAAUAUAAAAUUAAAAUUAUUAUUCGGAACAUCCGGGGCUCCGAUUCACGAUCCGUGAAUUCCUACACGAUCCUAGAAAUACCUAGAUUAACAUAUAUUAAAUUUGGGACCAUCCGACGGUCCCAACCUAUCGAACCCGGAUAACGCAUACUAUGCGAUUAUCCGUUCGAUAGUCAAACGACGUCCGAAUUGAGAUCCGCGAAAUCCUACGCACUCGUGACAACCUAAGGAUCUCUUUGGGUUAAUUUGCAGCUUCACCAGCCUCGCCCACGCGCCGCCACACGCGCCGGCAGCGCGUGGGUGUGUAGAGAAAUUCCGGCGACGGAAAAAACUCCACACCCGAGCUCACCCUUUCGGCUACAGAUUCUACUCGACGAGUGGAACACUUUAUUCAACUACACCAAAGUCCAAUUCGGACGGCAAGUGGCCGGAAUCGGCGUCGGAAACUCACGGUUUAACCCGGAACUUCACGGCCUCGAUCCGGCGACCACCGUCGAUAUCGUCAUCGCGCAACCUAGGAAAUAGCUAGAAGGGAAGGAGGGCUACCUGUUCCAAGUGACGGCGCAGCUCGCGACGGCCGGAAACGUCGCCGGUGACGUCGGCAAUUUUGGCCGUUUUUCCCGCCGUUGCCACCGCCGUUCGCCGGGUUUUCGAUCGGAGAAAAGGGGUGGGCUGGGUCGAGGAGGAAGAGAGGAAGCUUUUGCAAGAAACGGCGCCUAAAACGGAGGUCGGACGGCGAAGUUCACGCCGUCUGAAGUUCCGGCGAAAAAAUGAAAACGGGGAGGGGGGUUCAGCCGCGGGAGAGAGAGAGAGAGAGAGAGAGAGAGAGAGAGAGAGAUCUGAUAUUUUAACCCAAACUUCGAAAUAUUUACAGUUUUGCCACUGUCGAUGUUUUGCCCGUAACUUCUUCGUUACAACUCCGAUUCGAGCCCACUACGUGUCUAUGAACUCGUCUCAAUACGACCUAUCCAAAAAUAUAAGUCACGGUCCCAAACUCUCUCCGGUUAAAAAUAUGACUAAAAUACCCUUAAAUAAUUAAAUAAUUAAAUAAGGGUAAAAUUUGGGAAAAUUUGGGGUCGGAGUGUUACAGACUACCCCCCUUAUAAAAAUUUCGUCCCCGAAAUUUCCUACCUGUCACUCGAAGGGUUGUGAGCAUGGGGCCCGCAUCUACCACUCGGGUUCCCAAGUUCUUUCUCCACAACCGUGUUGGCAACCAAGCCAAAAGCUCUAGCUAAGCAAGCAGAGAAAGAGAAGUCUCCUUCUCUAACUAUGGCGAGCUCACGUGAGAGAGCAAGGAGGAAGAACCCUAAUGUUCCACUCCUGUCAAUCGCGGCAUUCAAGCCCACGCGAAUGAAGUACGGUUACACCCAACUCCAUUACUUCUCCCUUUAAUUUGCUAACACGAUUCUUUGAGAGAAAAGUCAGAAAGGAUCAUUUUUACCGAAUUGUAAUCAUCAUCGAUCUCUCUCGACCAUGAUCCAUUUCUGAUUCCGAUGAAAGAUCUCUACUCAAACGUGCUUACGUGAGAUGAGACCCCAAAUGACUCUCUCCAUCCAUCUGGGUCUCGUCCUUAGACUUGACCAUAGUAUUCCCACCACACACGAGCCUCUUUCUGUAAGAGACACUUGUGAUUUCGAUUAUACCAACACCACCCUUCAGACCCUGGAUCCCUUGAUCCAAUGUCGGGGAGUUGCUCGUCCCAGAGAGAGGUUAUGCUAUUAGGAUCUUCGACUCGGUGCUCUAGGCACACAAUCGAAAAUUAGCAACAUGUUCAGUCAAUGGAGGAUCCCUAGAAGUAGGUUGAUCCACUCCCUACCUCCCGCUUAUGCGGACCCAACAGACAACUUUGUCAUGGGGACAUCCAACUGUACCAUACGUACAGGUGUUACCCUAUGCAAACUUUUGGCUUCUAUUCGUAAUCUUCCGGAACUUCUGAAACAACCACUGUCUGUGGUAAAGCUCCAGCUCUACUUAUGCUCCGGUGGCCUAUGUACCUUUCCUUUGUGAAAUAAUUUGACUUUUGUGACGUCCUCAACGUUGCAAAUGUGCCACUCCGAGAUGGUACCCAUUUUGAUCCCCACAAUUUAAGGAUGCACAUAAAGUGCAGGGUCCACAAGGAAUUGAACCUAGAGCUCUGAUACCAACUUUAAGGACCCGCCCCGAAUUUUCUCAAAACCCGAGACGAACCCUUUGGAAUUCCUGACAUCACUCCGAUGUCAGACCCGAUCACUAAAGACCGAGACUUCCUGCCGAAAUUUCGGCAGAGUCUCCCCUAUAAAUUGGACAUUUUCCAAAAUUUCAACCUACAUAAAAACACAUUUAAUAUUCCCAACUGGCAGCAUGCACAAUAUAAUUUCAUGCAAUUCACACAAAUGGCCUUCAGCCUUUCAAUAAUUCCUAUCCAACUACCAAACCAUUCAAAUACCAAAUAUGACUAACAUUUAGUCUGCGGCUGCACCUAACCUUAGGCUGCCUACGUACCCUCCUUGAGGGAUCAAGCCACA
rnacentral:lncRNA from 1 species